GUUCGGUCCCUAUCCGCCGUGGGCGUAGGAAAUUUGAGAGGAGCUGUCCUUAGUACGAGAGGACCGGGAUGGACCAACCUCUGGUGCACCAGUUGUUCCGCCAGGAGCACAGCUGGGUAGCUAUGUUGGGAAGGGAUAAACGCUGAAAGCAUCUAAGCGUGAAGCCUACCUCAAGAUUAGAUUUCCCAUAGCGUAAGCUAGUAAGACCCCUGAAAGACUAUCAGGUUGAUAGGUUGGAGGUGUAAGUACAGUAAUGUAUUCAGCUGACCAAUACUAAUAGGUCGAGGGCUUGAUCAAAUU
rnacentral:rRNA from 1 species